rnacentral:lncRNA from 1 species
UACUAUCCCCCAUCUGAUGUGCCUGUUGCACAAGGCUGGAAGUCAGAGGCUGUGCACGUUUUUCUUUGUGGAGACAAAAAACUACCUGCUGUCAUCAGGGGUUGGUUGGUUGAGCCUUUCCCUGUGCUUGCCUGGCAGACCUGCGUGCUCUGAGGCUGCCCGACCCUGAGCUCCAGAACAGACCAUCGAGUUCAGGAGACAAGCAUGUCAGCCAUGACACAAGGCAGAUGAGAGGGACCCCCAGCGUCCACACGUGGAGGCAGCGGGGGCAGCCGUGACUUCCUUCUGCAGUGUUGAUUCAGCUCCCUUUGAAGGCGGGUGAGACCUUUUGCAGGCUGGGGGCAGGGGCGGGGGCGGAGAAGAGGGCUGCAGGCAGGGCUGGCAGAGGGGAGGAGGUGACACACACUCCCUGGAGGCGAGUGGGGAGGGCUCGGGGCAGGAAAUGGAGUUGGGUGCCCCAGGUGGGGUGCUCCAACGAGCUCUUUCUCAUGGGAUCCCCCACAGAUCCAUACAAACAGGCUGACCAUCAGGGCUGGUCCCAGGCCACCAGGCUGGGUGCAAUGCAGAAAUGGAGAUCUGCCCCGGGGAAGGCAGGUGAGUGUAGGAAGGAGGGAGGGCUGCGAGAAGCUGGGGGCAGCCUCCAUCCCCCUGUGGCCUGGGUGGGCCUGUGCCCCCCCAACCCCCCGACGCAGCUUCCCACACUGGGAGCACAGUUCCUCCCUCCUCUGCCUUCCUCUGCGUGGUGUGGCUCCUCCUUGAGGGAGAGAGCUGAGGAGGUGGCAUUCUUGCUUCCCUGACUCACCCAAAGGAAGAUUUCACAGCCCCUGGCAAGGGCUGCCAGACAGGCUCACCUGUCACCCCCUGUCCAGGGACAGACUGACCGGUAGCCUUGGCUGGGUGGGGAGUUAUGCUGGGAAGUCUUCCAGGCCCCCUGGGGGUGGGAAGAUGCUCAAUGUUCAAAGGAGAUGGAACGAGGAAAACAGUUAAGCAACGAUGGACUCCAGGGGGAAAACCGGAGAAGAAGAAACUGUAAUUCCAGUCCGUCCACAUGGCCCAGCAGUGAACGACAAUUGCAUGGUCAGAGAGAGCAAAAGCACCACGCCGACUGAAAGCAGCUCGAAUGUGGUGGGGCAGUGGGAGAUAAUGCCCUCAUCUACCAAAACAAGAUCUGCCACCUUCGCAGACCACUAAACCUCAUUCCUCCACCCACCUCCCCACCCCCAUGAAGGCCAACUGACCAGAGAGCAGGGCUCCCGAGGGUCGGGUCGGGUCGGGUCGGGUUGGGUCGGGUGGGUGCCUCUUAC